GCAUCUCGCUUACACCGAGAAAAUGUCCGUGAAAACCAGACUGUUUCGA
rnacentral:tRNA from 1 species